GCUGGGCAUGGUGGCGCAUGCCUGUAAUCCCAGCAGCUUGGGAGGCUGAGGCAGGAGGAUGGCGAGUUCAAAGCCAGCCUCAGCAAAAGUUAGGCGCUAAGCAACUCAAUGAGACCCUGUCUCUA
rnacentral:sRNA from 1 species